GACGAACGCUGGCGGCGUGCCUAAUACAUGCAAGUAGGACGCAGUUGCGAACGGGUGAGUAACGCGUAGGUAACUUCCUAUUAGAGGGGGAUAACUAUUGGAAACGAUAGCUAAUACCGCAUUCUAGUACAUGGUCCUGCGUUGUAUUGGCUAGUAGGUUGGGUUAUGGCCUACCUAGGCGACGAUACAUAGCCGACCUGAGAAGGUGAUCGGCCACAAUGGGACUGAGAAACGGGCCAGACUCCUACGGGAGGGAGGAGUGGGGAAUCGUCGGGAAUGGGGGGAACCCUGACCGGGCAACAGCGGGGGAGUGAAGAAGGUUUUCGGAUCGUAAAGCUCUGUUGUUAAGGAAGCGGUACUUAACCAGAAAGGGACGGCUAACGACGUGCCAGCAGCCGCGGUAAUAC
rnacentral:rRNA from 1 species